rnacentral:sRNA from 1 species
AAAUCCCCAAGAGCUAAGCAGAAGGGCCCGCGAGCCCACCAGGACACCGCGUGAGCAACGCAGAAGAGCCCGCGAGCCCACCAGCAGCACCAGGACACCGCGUGAGCAACGCAGUAGGGCCCGCGAGCCCACCAGCAGCACCAGGACACCGCGUGAGCAACGCAGAAGGGCCCGCGAGCCCACCAGCAGCACCAGGACACCGCGUGAGCAACGCAGAAGGGCCCGCGAGCCCACCAGCAGCACCAGGACACCGCGUGAGCAACGCAGAAGAGCCCGCGAGCGCCCAGAACACUAGCAACGGUCAUUUCUCCUGUGUUGGCCACCGGGGUCAGUCGACUCUUGGCGGCAGCAGGCGGAUCUUUUGGCAAGCACUCUUAGGGCUGGACGCCUUCGCCUCCAGCUAUCCAGCUAAUAGCAGAAGUGACUACGAAGUGUCUGGAGCCCCCUCCAGGCACCGACUUUACCCCGCAGCCAGUAUAAGCUAAGAGGUGGCAGAGGAACCUCCUCAAGGAGAGCUAAGCAGAAGGGCCCAGGAGCCCACCAGCAGCUCCAGGACAUCGCGUGAGCAAAGCUGGAUGCGCGCGCCCACCUGCAGCACCAGAACACCGCGUGAGCAAAACAGGAGGGCCCGUGAGCUCUCGAGGGCAACAGCAACGGUGGCAGAGGAGCCUCCUAAAGGAGCACCCAGAACACCAGCCGCGGUCACUUCCUCUGUUUUGGCCACUGGCUCACUGGUCUCUUAGCCUCGGCAAGCUGAUCUUCCAGGCUCACCUCUGGUGAGCACUCCUUGUGCUGGACGCCUUCCUACCAGCUAUCCAGCUAUUAGGAGAAGGGACUACAAGGUGCCUGUAGCCCCCUCCAGCACACACUAUCCUCUGCCAGCCAGUACAAGGCGGCAGAGGAGCCUCCUUCGGGAGAGCUAAGCAGAAGGGUCUGUGAGCCCAGAAGCAAACAGUUCCAGGACACCGCGUGAGCAAAGCCGGACCCGCGCGCCCACCAGCAGCACCGGGACACCGCGUGACCAACGCAGAAGGACCAGAGAGCGCCCAGAACACCAGCUGCAAUCACUUCCUCUGUAUUGGCCACCCCCUCGGGGGUCUCUUAGCCUGGGCGGCGGAUCUUCCAGGCUCACCACUGGUGAAUACACCUUGUGGCUGAGGAGCCUCCUUCAGGAGAGCUAAGCGGAAGGGUCCGCGAGCCCACCAGCAGCACCGGAACACCGCGUGGCCAAAGCAGAAGGACCUGGGAGCGCCCAGAACACCAGCCGCGGUCACCUCCUCUGUAUUGGCCACCUGCUCAGUGGGCUCUUAGGGUGCGCAGGCCCGUCUUCAAGGCUCACCUCUGGUGAGCACUCCUUGUGCUGGACGCCUUCCUACCAGCUAUCCAGCUAUUAGGAGAAGGGACUACAAGGUGCCUGUAGCCCCCUCCAGCACACACUAUCCUCUGCCAGCCAGUACAAGGCGGCAGAGGAGCCUCCUUCGGGAGAGCUAAGCAGAAGGGUCUGUGAGCCCAGAAGCAAACAGUUCCAGGACACCGCGUGAGCAAAGCCGGACCCGCGCGCCCACC